rnacentral:rRNA from 1 species
CGGCGUGCCUAAUACAUGCAAGUCGAACGAAGCUUUCUUUCACCGAAUGCUUGCAUUCACCGAAAGAAGCUUAGUGGCGAACGGGUGAGUAACACGUAGGUAACCUGCCCGAAAGAGGGGGAUAACACUUGGAAACAGGUGCUAAUACCGCAUAACCAUGAACACCGCAUGAUGUUCAUGUAAAAGACGGCUUUUGCUGUCACUUUUGGAUGGGCCUGCGGCGUAUUAACUUGUUGGUGGGGUAACGGCCUACCAAGGUGAUGAUACGUAGCCGAACUGAGAGGUUGAUCGGCCACAUUGGGACUGAGACACGGCCCAAACUCCUACGGGAGGCAGCAGUAGGGAAUCUUCCACAAUGGACGAAAGUCUGAUGGAGCAACGCCGCGUGAAUGAAGAAGGCCUUCGGGUCGUAAAAUUCUGUUGUCAGAGAAGAACGUGCGUGAGAGUAACUGUUCACGUAUUGACGGUAUCUGACCAGAAAGCCACGGCUAACUACGUGCCAGCAGCCGCGGUAAUACGUAGGUGGCAAGCGUUGUCCGGAUUUAUUGGGCGUAAAGGGAACGCAGGCGGUCUUUUAAGUCUGAUGUGAAAGCCUUCGGCUUAACCGAAGUAGUGCAUUGGAAACUGGAAGACUUGAGUGCAGAAGAGGAGAGUGGAACUCCAUGUGUAGCGGUGAAAUGCGUAGAUAUAUGGAAGAACACCAGUGGCGAAAGCGGCUCUCUGGUCUGUAACUGACGCUGAGGUUCGAAAGCGUGGGUAGCAAACAGGAUUAGAUACCCUGGUAGUCCACGCCGUAAACGAUGAGUGCUAAGUGUUGGAGGGUUUCCACCCUUCAGUGCUGCAGCUAACGCAUUAAGCACUCCGCCUGGGGAGUACGGU